AACGAACGCUGGCGGCAUGCCUAACACAUGCAAGUCGAACGAGACCUUCGGGUCUAGUGGCGCACGGGUGCGUAACGAGUGGGAACCUGUCCUUAGGUUCGGAAUAACUACCCGAAAGGGGUGCUACUACCGGAUAAUGUCUUCGGCACACAGUUUUAUCGCCUUUGGAUGGGCCCGUGUUGGAUUAGCUAGUUGGUAUGGUAAAAGCCUACCAAGGCGACGAUCCAUAGCUGGUCUGAGAGGAUGAUCAGCCACACUGGGACUGAGACACGGCCCAGACUCCUACGGGAGGCAGCAGUGGGGAAUAUUGGACAAUGGGCGAAGGGCUGAUCCAGCAAUGCCGCGUGAGUGAUGAAGGCCUUAGGGUUGUAAAGCGCUUUUACCCGGGAGGAUAAUGACAGUACCGGGAGAAUAAGCUCCGGCUAACUCCGUG
rnacentral:rRNA from 1 species